UUACUGACGCUGCCUGCAAGCGGAGGAGCACAUUCCCCUGCCAGGCCCUCAUGCAAACUUGGAUGCUGGAAAGGGGCUUUCACUGGCGGCUGCUAACAGAAGCAGCCCAGGAGAGCUAUGGUGCAAUUCUCCUGGGAGGCUGCUGCUGUGAAUCAGAGAGCCCUGAAGAGUUUCUUUGUCCUGGUGGAUGACUUCAGUCCUUGAAGUAACCUACACUCCACAGGCUACCAAGGUGACUGGAAGCCACUUCUGCUGCCUUGUGUCUUUUGUGGUCAACAGGAAAAUACUUGCCUGCUUCUUUGGCUUGCCACUCUGCAGUCUUCUGCAUGGCUGCAGCAAAGCAAGUAAUACAGUCUACCAUGGCCAUCAGAGCAGACAAAAAAAGCAGAAAAUCUAUAGGGAAAUACUUCAUAAAAGUCAUACACCACAUUUCUCUUGUUGGACAAAAG